UUUCGAAACUUGAAAUGGUACUUCAGCGGAGGAAUAAGUGUGGAUUAGUCCUUUAUCACCAGAUCGGUCAAGCAUAGUGUUGUGGAGCGUAGUGAAGUAUUGUGGAGCGUAGUGAAGUAUUGUGGAGCGUAGAUGAAGGCAGUGUGUGGUGUUGUCAUGUUAGGCGAUCGGUGUGAGUGUGUGUUGUGGAGCUGACCUUCCAUCUGCCUGCGGUAGCGAGCGCAUCACCGUGUAUUCCUGUGGAUCGGCAGUGUGUGGUGUUGUGAUGUUACGCGAUCGGUGUGAGUGUGUGUUGUGAAGCUGACCUUCCAUCUGCCUGCGGUAGCGAACGCAUCACCGUGUAUUCCUGUGGAUCGGUGUGUGGAGCGAGGGAGAGCCGUGAUAGCAGUGUGUGUUGUGGAGCUGACCUUCCAUCUGCCUUCCAUCUGCCUGCGGUAGCGAGCGCAUCACCGUGUAUUCCUGUGGAUCGGUAUGUGGAGCGAUGGAGAGCCGUGAUAGCAGUGUGCUGCAGAUGUGUUGGAGAGUUAGGAGAGAGUUGGAGUGUAAUAAUGUAUGUUGUAAUUUAUUUAAAGUAUUAAUAAAUGGUGUGUGUAUAAUAGGAUAAGUAUAGGAGGUGCGGCGCAGUGCAGUUUGCAGUGCGCGGCGGAUGUGUUGGAGAGUUAGGAGAGAGUUGGAGUGUAAUAAUGUAUGUUGUCAAUUCAAUUCAAUUUAUUUCCAUUUCAAUUUGCUGUACAUAAAUAAUAUUUUUUUUUUACGAGAUGCAGCGUACAUCGCUUUUCAACGUAGAAAAUGGAUUUGCCCGUUGGCAGUUGAUCUUGUUUUGUUAUAUAUAAUGAUGAUGGAUAAUGAAUGUCUUAACCUAACUUAAAAACUAAACUUAACUAACUUAUAAACUACAUAUGUACAAAAAUUCAUAUAAUGAAUAGCUGUCGGAUCAGCAGUA